rnacentral:rRNA from 1 species
GACAGAGGGUGCAAACGUUGCUCGGAAUUACUGGGCGUAAAGCGCGUGUAGGUGGAUUGGUGUGUCAGAUGUGAAAGCCCUGGGCUCAACCCAGGAAGUGCACUCGAAACUGUCAGGCUUGAAUAUGGAAGAGGGUCGCGGAAUUCCCGGUGUAGAGGUGAAAUUCGUAGAUAUCGGGAGGAACACCAGUGGCGAAGGCGGCGACCUGGGCCAAUAUUGACGCUGAGGAGCGAAAGCGUGGGGAGCGAACGAGG